rnacentral:tRNA from 1 species
GCCCCCGUGGCGGAAAGGCAGACGCAGCGGACUUAAAAUCCGCAGGGCCGCAAGGCCCGUGUGGGUUCGAUUCCCACCGGGGGCA